ACUUUAACAUGGAGGUGCUUUCUGUGCAUAUAAAAAGUAAGUGCUUCCAUGUUUUAGUAG
rnacentral:pre_miRNA from 1 species